GCGUCUGACAACUACUGUAACUCUUUCGUUGGACUCCCAGAACGCUCAGGAUGUUGAAUUACUCUUCCCAGCCCUCAGGGUGACCACUGUAACAUCCUCCUGGAUGAAAACAACCUCAGCAGCCCAACCCUGCCAACAGCAUGGAGACCCCAGUGACAGGACUGAGCCCCGGAAAUCUGUUGGCCAGUGUCGGGGUAUCAGCGAUGGCCAGUGAGGAGGUAAAUUCUCAGCAGAACAGCCAAACACUCCCAUGGCAGCC